rnacentral:lncRNA from 10 species
ACAAAGGACCGCUGGCGAGAUGAGCCAUCCUUCUUGCUUGUCAUGCUGGAGGGAAGUUUCUGGCUUCCGGACAAAUGCUUGUUUGCAGGAGGCCACAGAGGAUCCACGUGGCAAAGGUUCCUACUCACAGAGUGGGAUCUGCAAUCCGCAGGCAGGGUCCUUCAGGAAGAAGCCGUGCUGAGCACACAGGUCCCUGCGACCACAGAUGAACAGAACGCCUGGCCUUGCCCCUGGUGUCAGUCAGACUAAUUAGGGGCCCAGGGGACUUGCUGGCACUGCCCUUGCUGUGGCUGGAAAAGCUAUUUAAAUUCACAAAGAGCCUCACUUCCAGGCCAGGUCCUUUUGGUUCCAUGCGUGGGAGCCAGGUGCAAAGACGAAUGUGCUCUCAGCAGAACGACCCUGGGCUCUGCUUAUCUCCGAGGACAGGAUCUAAUCUCACACUGAAUUUCAGAAGGGAGACCGAUCAUGUUGGCAAUGCCCCCCUCCUGUAUGCAACUGUUUGUUUCCCUUGAUUCUGCGUUUUUACCUGCCCCCGCCCCCAUUCCCCAAAUACUGAGCUGCUGGACUCCUUCCCUUGCCUUGGUGGUCAUUCAUCCCUGAACUCUGCAUGGCACCAUCAUCACCGGUCCUGAGCAUUCCCCGCCCCGCCUGCCUGAAGAGGACCACAGGCCCUGGAGGUGGCUUCCCGUGACCCUGUGUCAACGCGGCAACGUUAGACAAUACUGUAAUACCUACAAACAAACAACUCCCGAGGUCCUCCUGGGGAGCGCAGUCCCCGCACCACAGCGCCCUCCGCAUAGCCAUUCCAGCACCGCCAGCAAAGUCCAGUGCACCGUCACCGCCCCACCCUUGCGGACUCCGACCUAGGUGUACAUGGAAGACAGCCCUCCUGUCAGUGGGGAGGGCCUGAGUCUGCCUCUCCUCUGUACAGGCCCAACGGUCCUUGGUGGCUUCAGUGCUUGUGACGGUGUCAUUAGGAGCAAAUGGCAUUUAGUCAUCGCUUCAGCCUGAUCACCGAGGGGGGCUGGGGUGUCGCUUGAGUUUGACUUGGUGACCUCUCCGCAUCUCAGUUUUCUCAUUCGUAAAGUGGGAUAAAAUAGCAACUUCCUUCAGUGAGAAUACACUGACAUAAAGUCUGUAAGGAGUUAGCACCAAUGCCAGCUUCUAUUAAAAUUCAGUGAAGGUCAGGUGUUCGUGCGAUGUGAAAGCACAUUAAUUUCUCAUUCACUGUCUGCUCAUUACUGUAAACGGAACUGGAUCUACUUGAUAAUCAUUUCAAAGUCACAUCCACCCAGAACUUGGGAAUGUUACCUUGCCUGGAAGUAAGGUUUUUUUCAGAUGUAAUUAGUUAGGGUGAGUCUAUACUGGGGUAGGGUGGAACCUGGAAUCCAGCAGGACUGGUGCCCUUAUAGGAAUAGGGGCAUUUGAAUACAGACACGCAGGGGAGAAGGCCGGGUAAAGACAGAGGGAGAGGUUGGCGUGAGGAGUCUGUAGGCCAAGCAAUGCCAGUGAACACCAGCAGGGCACCAAAGGCUGGAUGUGCAAGGCGCAUUCGUCCUUCCAACCUUCGGGGGGAGCAAAGCCCUGCCAACACCGUGACUUGCUCUUCUGGUCUCCAGAACUGUGAGAACAUCAACGUCUGUUGCUUUAAGCCACCAAACGUGUGGUUCUUUGUUAUGGCAGCCCUCGCCCUCCUCAGCCUGAACCAUCACCACUCUGCCUUACCUCUCAAUAUCCCAAGUAAAAGCCACCUGAAGCAACCAUGUCUUAACAGAGCAUGUCUUGGAAAUGUUGAAAAAAGACUUUCCCCAUUUUAUGAAUUUGCUGCAUAAUAGAAAUUUAAAUUAA